rnacentral:misc_RNA from 1 species
GAUGAAGAACGUAGCGAAAUGCGACACUUGGUGUGAAUUGCAGAAUCCCGUGAACCAUCGAGUCUUUGAACGCAAGUUGCGCCCGAAGCCACUAGGCCGAGGGCACGCCUGCCUGGGCGUCACACGUCGUUCCCCCCCCAUCUACUCCUUCGGGAUUGCAGGGGGCGGAUGAUGGCCUCCCGUGCGCCUCGCCGCGCGGUUGGCAUAAAUACCAAGUCCUCGGCGACGCACGCCACGACAAUCGGUGGUUGCGAAACCUCGGUUGCCCGUCGUGUGCGUUCGUCGCGCAUCGAGGGCUCGAAAAAAUGCUCGGCUCCGGCUCGGCUUUCAACGCGACCCCAGGUCAGGCGGGGUUACCCGCUGAAUUUAAGCAUAUCAAUAAGCGGAGGA